rnacentral:ribozyme from 1 species
UGCCCAGCAACUCCUAUCCCUACCUCCUCGUGGUACUGGCCGGUGUACGAGUAACCUUGGGGAAGAUCGGGUAACCAACCCCCGGUGGGAACUUUGGUCGUAUGCUGACAGGGAAGG